UACGUAGGUGGCAAGCGUUGUCCGGAUUUACUGGGCGUAAAGAGCGCGCAGGCGGUCGUGCAAGUCGCGUGUGAAAGCCCCCGGCUCAACUGGGGAGGGUCACGCGAUACUGCUCGACUCGAAGGCAGGAGGGGGAAGUGGAAUUCCCGGUGUAGUGGUGAAAUGCGUAGAUAUCGGGUAGAACACCAGUGGCGAAGGCGGCUCUCUGGGACGGUACUGACGCUGAGACGCGAAAGCGUGGGGAGCGAACAGG
rnacentral:rRNA from 1 species